CCUACGGGUGGCAGCAGUGGGGAAUAUUGGACAAUGGGGGGAACCCUGAUGCAGCGACGCCGCGUGAGUGAAGAAGUAUUUCGGUAUGUAAAGUCCUAUCAGCAGGGAAGAAAGAAAUGACGGUACCUGACUAAGAAGCGCCGGCUAACUACGUGCCAGCAGCAGCGGUAAGAAGGGGGGGGCAAGCGUUAUCCGGAUUUACUGGGUGUAAAGGGAGCGUCGACGGCCAGAAAAGUCAGAUGUGAAAGCCCAGGGCUCAACCCUGGGACAGCAUUUGAAACUGCCGGGGUGGAGUGCAGGAGAGGUAAGCGGAAUUCCUAGUGUAGCGGUGAAAUGCGUAGAUAUUAGGAGGAACAGCAGUGGCGAAGGCGGCUUACUGGACUGUAACUGACGUUGAGGCUCGAAAGCGUGGGGAGCAAACGGGAUUAGAUACCCGUGUAGUC
rnacentral:rRNA from 1 species